rnacentral:rRNA from 1 species
GUCUACGGCCAUACCACCCUGAACACGCCCGAUCUCAUCUGAUCUCGGAAGCUAAGCAGGGUCGGGCCUGGUUAGUACUUGGAUGGGAAACAAAAUUGUUCUACAUA